CUCUUAGCUCUUCACACAACAGAACUGGUUUCCCUCCAGCUGCCUUGUUCAGCGAUGAAAACAAUGUUGAAUGAAAGCCAGCUGGCAGCCAGAAGACUAGACGGAGAAAUGUGCACAAAGGAGCUUCCUACCACACUGUUUUCAGAUCAAGGAAUUGUCUGGUGGCGAGGGAGGGAGGAAUCUUGACUUCUUCCUUUGCAGAACGUAUCAGAAAACCAAAA